rnacentral:rRNA from 1 species
UGGGGGAUAUUGCACAAUGGGCGAAAGCCUGAUGCAGCGACGCCGCGUGGGGGAUGAAGGCCUUCGGGUUGUAAACUUCUUUUGCUCUGAACAAGGCAUGCCUUUGGGGUGUGUUGAGUGUAGGGGUUGAUUAGCGCCGGCUAACUACGUGCCAGCAGCCGCGGUAAUACGUAGGGCGCGAGCGUUGUCCGGAAUUAUUGGGCGUAAAGGGCUUGUAGGUGGCUGGUUGCGUCUGUCGUGAAAGCUCAUGGCUUAACUGUGGGUUUGCGGUGGGUACGGGCUGGCUUAAGUGCAGUAGGGGAGGCUGGAAUUCCUGGUGUAGCGGUGGAAUGCGCAGAUAUCAGGAGGAAUACCGGUGGCGAAGACGGGUCUCUGGGCUGUUACUGACGCUGAGGAGCGAAAGCGUGGGGAGCGAACAGG